rnacentral:rRNA from 1 species
CUGGAGUUUGGCAGAGGGGGGUGGAAUUCCACGUGUAGCAGUGAAAUGCGUAGAGAUGUGGAGGAACACCGAUGGCGAAGGCAGCCCCCUGGGCCAAUACUGACGCUCAUGCACGAAAGCGUGGGGAGCAAACAGGAUUAGAUACCCUGGUAGUCCACGCCCUAAACGAUGUCAACUAGGUGUUGGGAGGGUUAAACCUUUUAGUGCCGUAGCUAAC